rnacentral:lncRNA from 1 species
AUUCCCUGGAUUUGGGCUUGUUCUGGCUGUGGGAUGAAGCCAGAGCGGCCUCCUGCCCAGAUUUCUGGGCUCACACCCCAACAACAAGCACUGUCUGUUGCCCCACACCACCCCCAAAGUGCACCUAGCAAGGCUUGCUGAUGCCACCGUGCACAAAAGCACACAACUGCCGUACAGCCCCUAAUUCCUCUGGUGCCAACCCCCUGCCCAAACCCCCUCUUCCCUUUGGUCUACCAGCCAGUUUCUAGUAAUUAUCCUUUAACUCAGCACUUCUGCCUUCAAUUCUCCUCCCGCACCUUCCUGUCUCCCUAUAAUUUAUUCUAUAUUUCACCCAUUUCUUGUCCUCAUUUAUAAUUCUUCUUUAUUUUAUUACUUUGCAUAAUUUCCUUUUAGGAUUUGUCAUAAAAUAAAUUCUGCCACCUCGGUCUUCUCAUUUCUGCUCUCAAGUGUCAGCUCUGCGCUCUCUUGCAUCGGCUCCCGACGCCUUCCCAGCCCUGGUGCUGCAGCUACCCCAACCCCAGAUGACCUGGAAGGGACCCCGGUUUCAGAAGGGCCUUUCCAAAUGAAUCAAAGCCCUCAAUGAUCUCUGGAAAGGCAAUAGUGAAGGUUUUCCUAGUGUACCAACACAGCAUGGCUGUUGGUGUUGCGGCACAAGUGCAGGUAACCCUCCCCUGGGACAACCAGCUCUGGCAGGACUGGGAUCCAGCUCAAAGGUCACCAAGUGCUCAGACCAACCUGUCCACCAGGGCUCCCCGCCCAUGGAAGAGAAGAAUUUUCCCCUCCCUCAGACCUCCUCCCCACUUGCCCGUAGGUUCAGCUAUGGAUUAUGGAUCAUUGUCCAGGAAUAAUCAUCCUGCUGCUCCUCACAGAUGUUCUGCAGGGAUGCUAGAGCUGGGGAGGCGCUCGGCGUUAUGAUGAUGGGAGCCACACAAACUCCGUUAAUGGCUGAGUGAUAAUGUGAAGGUCCCUGCUACGUUAGCUGUCAGUUUGCUAACGAAUAUUAAGAGACAGAUGUCAUAUGAGCAUCUCUACACUUUGGAGCUGGUGGCAAACUUCACACCUCCAGCUUUCCUAAUAAGACAGUAUUUCAUCCGGCAGUACCCCACUCAAAAUGCUUAUUAUAGCUAGGCUGAUAAGUACUGUAAGGUCUCAUUAUUUAUCUAUAUGCUUUAUUUUGAAUGGAUAAUAGAAAAAAUACUUAAAAGGGC